rnacentral:rRNA from 1 species
UGGGGAAUAUUGCACAAUGGGCGAAAGCCUGAUGCAGCAACGCCGCGUGAGGGACGACGGCCUUCGGGUUGUAAACCUCUUUUAGCAAGGAAGAAGCGAAAGUGACGGUACUUGCAGAAAAAAGCGCCGGCUAACUACGUGCCAGCAGCCGCGGUAAUACGUAGGGCGCAAGCGUUAUCCGGAAUUAUUGGGCGUAAAGAGCUCGUAGGCGGUUUGUCGCGUCUGCUGUGAAAAACCCGAGGCUCAACCUCGGGCCUGCAGUGGGUACGGGCAGACUAGAGUGCGGUAGGGGAGAUUGGAACUCCUGGUGUAGCGGUGGAAUGCGCAGAUAUCAGGAAGAACACCGAUGGCGAAGGCAGAUCUCUGGGCCGUAACUGACGCUGAGGAGCGAAAAGGGUGGGGAGCAAAACAGGCUUAGAUACCCUGGUAGUCCACCCCGUAAAACGUUGGGAACUAGUUGUGGGGUCCAUUCCACGGAUUCCGUGACGCAGCUAAACGCAUUAAGUUCCCCGCCUGGGGGAGUACGGCCGCAAGGCUAAAAACUUAAAAUGAAUUGACGGGGUCAUAGCUGUUUCCUG